AGGGAAGGAGGGAGGGAGGUAGAACACAUGCAAGUCGAACGGCAGCACAGUAAGAGCUUGCUCUUACGGGUGGCGAGUGGCGGACGGGUGAGGAAUACAUCGGAAUCUACUUUUUCGUGGGGGAUAAUGUAGGGAAACUUACGCUAAUACCGCAUACGACCUACGGGUGAAAGCAGGGGAUCUUCGGACCUUGCGCGAUUGAAUGAGCCGAUGUCGGAUUAGCUAGUUGGCGGGGUAAAGGCCCACCAAGGCGACGAUCCGUAGCUGGUCUGAGAGGAUGAUCAGCCACACUGGAACUGAGACACGGUCCAGACUCCUACGGGAGGCGGCAGUGGGGAAUAUUGGACAAUGGGCGCAAGCCUGAUCCAGCCAUACCGCGUGGGUGAAGAAGGCCUUCGGGUUGUAAAGCCCUUUUGUUGGGAAAGAAAAGCAGCAGGUUAAUACCCCGCUGUUCUGACGGUACCCAAAGAAUAAGCACCGGCUAACUUCGUG
rnacentral:rRNA from 1 species